rnacentral:misc_RNA from 1 species
AAGGAUAUAUUCGGAACAUCUCRUAGAGAUGAUAYGGAAUAACGUGACAUAUUGUAUUCAGUUUUGAAUGUUUAUGUUAAAACAUUCAUKUUUAAUURAAUAUUGCAUUUACUAUUAUAUUUUGUUAUAAUACUURGAUGUGAUUAUUAAUUAAUGACAUUGUACAUUGAAAACUAGAUAAGUAAGUAAAUAGAUUUUACCAAGCAAAACCGAGUGAAUAGAGUUUUAAAUAAGCUUGAAUUCAUAAAAAAUAAUCGCUAGUGUUCGAAAGAACACUCACAGAUUAAUAACUAUAUUA